rnacentral:tRNA from 1 species
CCCAAUCUUGGGCUGAACAAAAUAUUGUUUGCAAAUCUGUCAACUGUCGAGUAUCCUUUCGGGCUUUUCGCAGUUGGCCUUUAAC